GGCGCACGGGUGCGUAACGCGUAUGCAACCUACCUUUUAUUGGGGGAUAGCCCGGAGAAAUCCGGAUUAAUACCGCAUAACAUCAUUGACUGGCAUCGGUUGGUGAUGAAAGCUGAGGCGAUAAGAGAUGGGCAUGCGUGCCAUUAGCUAGUUGGUAGGGUAAAGGCCUACCAAGGCUACGAUGGCUAGGGGUUCUGAGAGGAUGAUCCCCCACACUGGUACUGAGAUACGGACCAGACUCCUACGGGAGGCAGCAGUAGGGAAUAUUGGGCAAUGGACGGAAGUCUGACCCAGCCAUGCCGCGUGCAGGAAGAAGGCCUUCUGGGUUGUAAACUGCUUUUAUCUAGGAAGAAAAUACCCUUGCGAGGGGAACUGACGGUACUAGGUGAAUAAGCACCGGCUAACUCCGUGCCAGCCGCCGCGG
rnacentral:rRNA from 1 species